UUGAUCCUACUUGGAAUCCAGCCAAUGAUCUUCAAGCCAUUGACAGAGCAUAUAGGAUUGGACAAUGUAGAGAUGUCAAAGUGCUUAGGCUGAUAUCCUUGGGAACUGUGGAGGAAAUCAUGUAUUUACGACAGAUAUACAAGCAGCAACUUCACUGUGUGGUGGUUGGAAGUGAAAAUGCCAAACGAUAUUUUGAAGCAGUUCAAGGAUCUAAAGAGCAUCAAGGAGAGCUUUUUGGGAUCCAUAACCUCUUCAAAUUUAGGUCCCAAGGGUCUUGUCUUACGAAGGACAUCCUGGAGAGAGAAGGCCAAGUAGAAGCAGGGAUCAUGACAGCCACAACAUGGUUGAAAGAGGGACCUCCAGCACACAAACUGGAAAUGCGUGAUUGGAAGCAUCUGCUAGAUGACAGUAAACUCCAGUAAUUCUUAAGCACCUAGACAGCCUGACUGUCAGGAAUGCAGAGGUACA
rnacentral:lncRNA from 1 species